rnacentral:snRNA from 1 species
GUACCCAUUUUGGCAGCUUAUAUACUAAAAUUGGAAUGAUGCAGAGAAAAUUAAUAUGGCCCCUGUGCAAUGCAAAUUUGUGAAGUGUUCCAUAUUUGU